CCGAGCUGAGCUGGGAAGCUGGAAAACCUCCAGAGACUCAUCUCAGUAAGCCAGGCGAAGCACCCAGGCAAUAGACACCUUCCUUGGGGCUCAGAGCUUGUCUCCUUCCUCGCAGUCGGGGUUCACCCUGCACCCCGCAGCAGGACCGCUUCGGGUGCUGCUGCCCACGCAGUGCUGCGGCCGGAGCUCCUGUGGUUUCCUGAGCCUUGGCAGGGCAUCUGCAGCCCGGCUUCUGAGGCCACACUGGUGAAAAGUGCCGUGCUGGGAGCUGUGUCUUCCCCAUGCUUCCUUCCUGUUGGGAAUUAGCCCUUCAGAGGCAGGCUUGGCUCCAGGAGGGUCUCGCUGUUGACUUGGUGCUCCUGCAGAGCGGUGUGAGUUGCCAGCUCCGGGCUAGGCAGUGCUGGGACCCGUGGGCUGUGGUUGAUCUUCUCGUUAGUCUUCUGAGAAACUGUAGCUCUGAAGCACAUCCGUGCUUCAUUCCUGGUGAAGAAGUAGUGGACCUUGUGGGUGCUACAACUCUGUUGAUGGUGAUAAGAUUAAAUCUCUUUCUACUUUACAAGAUGAAAGUGAAGCCCUUUGGGUAUAAGAUCAGGACUUUCCUAUGUUUAUAUUAUGUUCUGCUUUGGCCAAGCAUCUGUACACUUCAUCUUAAUAACUUAAAUAGGUUCUCAUGAAGUAGGGCACAGUUCACACCUUGCAUGUUGAUUAGCUUCUGAGUAAUGAACAUAAAAUAAAUGUUGUCUUGAUUUUUAGUAGAUCUAGAGGUCAGUUGCACUCUGAAACUUCCGUGCCCCCAAGAACGUUCUCUUAUAUAGCAUUGUAAAUGUAUAACACCAGGUAAAGGCGGAGUGUAAGUGGAUUUUCUAGUUACUCAACAUUAAACGGUUUGGUGUUUUUUAUUUUUAUUUUUCCCCUCCCACCAACUUUUAUUCUAUGGGGAAUUUUGUCUUGGAGCAAAACCAAAUGUUGGCAUUUCAAGUGGAUCAGGAAACCAUGUAUUCAAGCAGCUUCUGGCACUGUUCUCUGUGCUGUCUCAUGGGUGUCAUACUU